UGGGGCCAUGGCCUGGGCUGAUGGAGACCUUGAGGUGGAAUCAGCCUGCACUGCGCAAUGUGACCGGCAGGGAUCGCCAAACCGCCUUUUCUGCCCCCCAUGUGGUAUGCAUGCGUGUUCUCUGCGCAGAUGCAGCGUGGUAUGUGUGGUGUGCGUGGUGUGCAUGGUGUCAGUGGUGUGAUGUGCAGCGUGGCGUCUGUACUGUGGAGAAGUAGCGCUCCAGUUCCCUGAGGACUCUCCGGCACUGCAGCAGGUUCGGGACGACUUGUGGCUGCGCCCUGGGGAAGAAACAGCUCCUGUCAGUAGCUGACUGCUGAAGACGGAACUUCGGUGUGGCUUCUUCGUGUUGCGGGUUUCUCCCGGGCGUUUUUUCCUUCAUGAGACAGAGUUCCUCCGUGUUGCCCAAGGUGGUCUUGAAUUCCUGGACUCAGGUGAUCCACCUGCUUUGGCCUCCCAAAGUGCUGGGAUUACAGGUAUGAGCCACUGCACCAUUUUUUUAAAAUUACAUAUUAUUUAUAUCUUUUUAUAUAGUUAAAAAACUAUCCCAUCAAAAUUCUAUGCACAUAUUUAUUAGGCCCUUAGAAGUUUCUGUGGGACAAUUGUGUUGAUUCAAACACACACACACACACACACACACACACACACACACACACAAAUUGAGUAUAUUUAAGGAGAAAUGCAGCAAGAAUGUCUCCAUCCAAGGCCACUGUUUUUAGGAGAGCAGGCUUUCUGGGGCAUCUGAAGCCUCAGAGAGCCUGGUGUCUGUCCCCAGAGGUGCCUAAAUAAUUGAAUGAUGGACCACUGAG
rnacentral:lncRNA from 10 species